rnacentral:rRNA from 1 species
GGGGAAUUUUGGACAAUGGGCGAAAGCCUGAUCCAGCCAUUCCGCGUGCAGGAUGAAGGCCUUCGGGUUGUAAACUGCUUUUGGACGGAACGAAAAGCCACUUUCUAAUACAAGGUGGUCAUGACGGUACCGUCAGAAUAAGCACCGGCUAACUACGUGCCAGCAGCCGCGGUAAUACGUAGGGUGCAAGCGUUAAUCGGAAUUACUGGGCGUAAAGCGUGCGCAGGCGGUUAUGUAAGACAGAUGUUAAAUCCCCGGGCUCAACCUGGGAACUGCAUUUGUGACUGCAUAGCUAGAGUACGGUAGAGGGGGAUGGAAUUCCGCGUGUAGCAGUGAAAUGCGUAGAUAUGCGGAGGAACACCGAUGGCGAAGGCAAUCCCCUGGACCUGUACUGACGCUCAUGCACGAAAGCGUGGGGAGCAAAC